AGAACAUCGAUCUCAAUUAGGUUCCCUGAAGGGGGGAGCGAUUCCCACAUGGUCUGAAGCCCGAUGUCCUUGUUCGUGAUACGGAUCGCAUGAUCGAGAGGUGGUACUCAUGGGAGUUCUUAUGCAGUAGAAUUUGGUCUCUUCCAAGGGAAAUUUGUGGCAUUUUUGGAUGGCAGCUACCUCCAGUUCUGAUACGUUUUGCUCCAGGCAGCAGAUGAGAUUCUGUGGGUGAGAUCAUCUGAACCAUACCGCAUUCCUUAUCAAUGAUUUCCUUUGCACUUCCAAGGGAGAAAUCCAGAGAGGAUUUCCGGGGUUUUUGCGAGGUAUCAUCAUCUAUUAAGAAGGAUCAAAGAGAGAUCGUUGCGUAGAACCCUUUUGGUGCUGUAAAAAGGGGACCUAAAAUAACAAAACUAGAAGGCAGAUGAUCUUUUAUUCAUCAUUUGCUAUGAUUGCACAAUAAUAAGGUUUGCGAUAACAGCCAAAGAUCAAAGAAAUAAAGGACCUGAAUUCUGAAUAUUUAUGCCCAAGGGAAGAAGUUAAAAGCUUUUAGUUGAUCCAACUAUAGGUCUGCAAUAGAGAUGGUACAACAUGCGGAUUCUAAUGGAGCUAUCAGAUAGGGCAAUUUCCAAAAUCCAUGUCAGUUGUGCCCUGACUUCAACUUGUCAACUUGCACCAGGAUAACCCACUGUCAAUUUGAAAAACAAUCAAAUUAAUGUUACAGGUUGGUAGAAAUCACAUACCAUAUCCACCCAUGGGAUUGAACCUUUUAAGGAUGGCUGUAUCCACCACAGGUCCACAAGUGACAUUGUGAUCAGCCUCUACAGAUUGGCUCCGAAGCUCCAGAACAACUGGGUCUCCCUCACCUGCCAUACGCCCUAGACUGCAAGCAUGACUCUCCCAGGAUUUUCUCCCAUAUUUUCCUUCAACUAAGAACACCGAGGAUUUAUAAAACCAGCUGCCCACAAAAGACACAUUGAGCACAGCAGCAGGAGCUUUGCAGCUUCCGUUGACUGAAGUUAUCGAAAACGUAAGGAUGUACUGCGCGUAAAUUGAGGUAAGUCUGAUUGUUUGGCGUAUGACUCCAUUAAGACCCAGCUGAAUAGCAUGUCCAUUAUCAGGCAGCGAUAUGCUGGGGCCUGCAGUCACAUAGUACACGGUGCCGUUGAAGGACCAGCCGGGGAUAGUGUUGUUCUUGGACAGAGGCACGAGGGGAGUGCUGGAGUUUGGCUUGAUAUUUGAUGGAGGGAAUUCAAAGUUUCCAUUCUGCAGCAAAGCUGUUUGUGGAAUGAAAAUGGCAGCUUACCGGCCAAGCAUUUGGUUAGUAACCAUGAGAAGUUUAGGGAGGAUUAGAACUGCACCUUCUGAUGCUGCCGCCACCGCAGCUAAUAGGAUCAAGAAAAUUUCUUCAAGCAGUCUCAUUGUCGAGGAUGAAGCAGUGGAGGUUACGAUGGUUUUCACGAGAUGAAUCUGAUUCAAUAACGGGUUGCUGAGCUUUGCUGGUCUUCUUUCUUUCUUUGAUCAGAUUCAACCAAACAAUGCUCCUCCAGUAUUCCCCAAUGGAACAACGGCUUUGACUGGAAUGAAGAACUUGGUGUGUGCGCUUUGAUCUUUGGGGUCGAGUCCUUUUUGCCGAUGUCUAAAAGAGAACGUUAACAUCGUUGGAGAUACAGAAACUUGAUCCAUAUCCUUCGUCAUAGUCAACGUCUGAGACAAAUCGUUGAGAACCUCGAGGCAGGAAUAAUUGACCGUUGACUUUUUUUUAUUUUGGGUGAGAUACGUAACGUAUCUCAUCUCUGCAUCUCUCGUUCCUAUCUUAAAGGUCUUCCUGGAAUCUUUUGGCAAGUUGAUCCAUAUCCUUCGUCAUAGUCAACGUCUGAGACAAAUCGUUGAGAACCUCGAGGCGCAAUAGUUGACCGUUGACUUUUUUUAUUUUGGGUGAGAUACGUAACGUAUCUCAUCUCUGCAUCUCUCGUUCCUAUCUUAAAGGUCACCGGGUCGCUUAGUUCGAUCACAAAACAACGCAAGCGUAGCUGUAUCUCCAACUUGACUAUAUACAAACUGCUUAAUUUUUCUGA